rnacentral:rRNA from 1 species
CCUCCUUUUGUCCUCCUUUUUUCCUCUUUCCCCCUUUUGUCCCCCCUGCUGCCGCGACGCCGCGUGAGCGAUGAAGUAUUUCGGUAUGUAAAGCUCUAUCAGCAGGGAAGAAAAUGACGGUACCUGACUAAGAAGCCCCGGCUAACUACGUGCCAGAAGCCGCGGUAAUACGUAGGGGGCAAGCGUUAUCCGGAUUUACUGGGUGUAAAGGGAUCGUAGACGGUCCUGCAAGCCAGAUGUGAAAGCCCGGGGCGCAACCCCGGGACUGCAUUUGGAACUGUAAGGCUAGAGUGUCGGAGAGGCAGGCGGAAUUCCUAGUGUAGCGGUGAAAUGCGUAGAUAUUAGGAGGAACACCAGUGGCGAAGGCGACUUUCUGGCACAUAACUGACGCUGAGGAGCGAAAGCGUGGGUAGCAAACAGGAUUAGAUACCCGUGUAGUC